rnacentral:rRNA from 1 species
UGGGGAAUAUUGGACAAUGGGCGAAAGCCUGAUCCAGCCAUGCCGCGUGUGUGAAGAAGGCCUUUUGGUUGUAAAGCACUUUAAGCGAGGAGGAGGCUACUAGUACUAAUACUACUGGAUAGUGGACGUUACUCGCAGAAUAAGCACCGGCUAACUCUGUGCCAGCAGCCGCGGUAAUACAGAGGGUGCGAGCGUUAAUCGGAAUUACUGGGCGUAAAGCGCGCGUAGGUGGUUCGUUAAGUUGAAUGUGAAAGCCCCGGGCUCAACCUGGGAACUGCAUCCAAAACUGGCGAGCUAGAGUAGGGCAGAGGGUGGUGGAAUUUCCUGUGUAGCGGUGAAAUGCGUAGAUAUAGGAAGGAACACCAGUGGCGAAGGCGACCACCUGGGCUCAUACUGACACUGAGGUGCGAAAGCGUGGGGAGCAAACAGG